rnacentral:rRNA from 1 species
UUGCUGGGCGGAUUAGUGGCGAACGGGUGAGUAAUACGUGAGUAACCUGCCCUUGACUCUGGGAUAAGCCUGGGAAACUGGGUCUAAUACUGGAUACUACCUCUUGCCGCAUGGUGGGUGGUGGAAAGGGUUUUACUGGUUUUGGAUGGGCUCACGGCCUAUCAGCUUGUUGGUGGGGUAAUGGCUCACCAAGGCGACGACGGGUAGCCGGCCUGAGAGGGUGACCGGCCACACUGGGACUGAGACACGGCCCAGACUCCUACGGGAGGCAGCAGUGGGGAAUAUUGCACAAUGGGCGGAAGCCUGAUGCAGCGACGCCGCGUGAGGGAUGACGGCCUUCGGGUUGUAAACCUCUUUCAGUAGGGAAGAAGCGAGAGUGACGGUACCUGCAGAAGAAGCGCCGGCUAACUACGUGCCAGCAGCCGCGGUAAUACGUAGGGCGCAAGCGUUGUCCGGAAUUAUUGGGCGUAAAGAGCUCGUAGGCGGUUUGUCGCGUCUGCUGUGAAAGCCCGGGGCUCAACCCCGGGUCUGCAGUGGGUACGGGCAGACUAGAGUGCAGUAGGGGAGACUGGAAUUCCUGGUGUAGCGGUGAAAUGCGCAGAUAUCAGGAGGAACACCGAUGGCGAAGGCAGGUCUCUGGGCUGUUACUGACGCUGAGGAGCGAAAGCAUGGGGAGCGAACAGGAUUAGAUACCCUGGUAGUCCAUGCCGUAAACGUUGGGCACUAGGUGUGGGGGACAUUCCACGUUUUCCGCGCCGUAGCUAACGCAUUAAGUGCCCCGCCUGGGGAGUACGGCCGCAAGGCUAAAACUCAAAGGAAUUGACGGGGGCCCGCACAAGCGGCGGAGCAUGCGGAUUAAUUCGAUGCAACGCGAAGAACCUUACCAAGGCUUGACAUUCACCGGACCGCCCCAGAGAUGGGGUUUCCCUUCGGGGCUGGUGGACAGGUGGUGCAUGGUUGUCGUCAGCUCGUGUCGUGAGAUGUUGGGUUAAGUCCCGCAACGAGCGCAACCCUCGUUCUAUGUUGCCAGCACGUGAUGGUGGGGACUCAUAGGAGACUGCCGGGGUCAACUCGGAGGAAGGUGGGGAUGACGUCAAAUCAUCAUGCCCCUUAUGUCUUGGGCUUCACGCAUGCUACAAUGGCCGGUACAAAGGGUUGCGAUACUGUGAGGUGGAGCUAAUCCCAAAAAGCCGGUCUCAGUUCGGAUUGAGGUCUGCAACUCGACCUCAUGAAGUCGGAGUCGCUAGUAAUCGCAGAUCAGCAACGCUGCGGUGAAUACGUUCCCGGGCCUUGUACACACCGCCCGUCAAGUCACGAAAGUUGGUAACACCCGAAGCCGGUGG